rnacentral:misc_RNA from 1 species
GUGAAUCAUCAAAUUUUUGAACGCAAAUUGCACUCCCUGGUAUUCCGGAGAGUAUGCCUGUUUGAGGAUCAGUUUACAUCAAAAUCGGUGUGGUUGAUGCCUUUCGUGGUGACGUACCGGAUUUGGGUCGUAUUGCCUUCGGUUAAGUGACCUAAAAUUUUGCAUGAUUUUUCGAACGUAUUUAAAUGACUUUACGUACGUUUGAGAUAUCGACUACUAGGAGUGGUAAUCCUCAUGAUUCGCGCAUAUAAUCUUUCAUCAAAAUGACCUAAAAUCAGGUAAGUGUAUCUGCUGAACUUAA